GACGAACGCUGGCGGCGUGCUUAACACAUGCAAGUCGAGCGGGUAAGGCCCUUUCGGGGGUACACGAGCGGCGGAACGGGUGAGUAACACGUGGGUGACCUGCCCUCAGCUCUGGGAUAAGCCUGGGAAACCGGGUCUAAUACUGGAUAUGACUCCAUGACGCAUGUUGUGGGGUGGAAAGCCUUGUGCGGCUGAGGAUGGGCCCGCGGCCUAUCAGCUUGUUGGUGGGGUGANGGCCUACCAAGGCGACGACGGGUAGCCGGCCUGAGAGGGCGACCGGCC
rnacentral:rRNA from 1 species